GAGGCGAACCGGGGGAACUGAAACAUCUAAGUACCCCGAGGAAAAGAAAUCAACCGAGAUUCCGAAAGUAGCGGCGAGCGAAAUUGGACUAGCCCUUAAGCUUUACACGCGUUAGACGAACGGUCUGGAAAGUCCGACGAUACAGGGUGAUAGUCCCGUAGUUGACGACGUGUGUUCAGUGAAAUCGAGUAGGGCGGGACACGUGAUAUCCUGUCUGAAUAUGGGGGGACCAUCCUCCAAGGCUAAAUACUACUGACUGACCGAUAGUGAACCAGUACCGUGAGGGAAAGGCGAAAAGAACCCCUGUGAGGGGAGUGAAAUAGAACCUGAAACCGUGUACGUACAAGCAGUAGGAGCAGGCUUUGUCCUGUGACUGCGUACCUUUUGUAUAAUGGGUCAGCGACUUAUAUUCAGUGGCAAGGUUAACCAUCUAGGGGAGCCGUAGGGAAACCGAGUCUUAACUGGGCGUUCAGUCUCUGGAUAUAGACCCGAAACCAGGUGAUCUAGCCAUGGGCAGGUUGAAGGUUGAGUAACAUCAACUGGAGGACCGAACCGACUAAUGUUGAAAAAUUAGCGGAUGACUUGUGGCUAGGGGUGAAAGGCCAAUCAAACCUGGAGAUAGCUGGUUCUCCCCGAAAGCUAUUUAGGUAGCGCCUCGGACGAAUACUACUGGGGGUAGAGCACUGUUAAGGCUAGGGGGUCAUCCCGACUUACCAACCCUUUGCAAACUCCGAAUACCAGUAAGUACUAUCCGGGAGACACACGGCGGGUGCUAACGUCCGUCGUGGAGAGGGAAACAACCCAGACCGCCAGCUAAGGUCCCAAAUUACUACUAAGUGGGAAACGAUGUGGGAAGGCUCAGACAGCCAGGAUGUUGGCUUAGAAGCAGCCAUCAUU
rnacentral:rRNA from 1 species